rnacentral:rRNA from 1 species
UACGGGGGGGGGCAAGCGUUGUCCGGAUUUACUGGGCGUAAAGAGCGCGCAGGCGGUUGGAUAAGUCGAAUGUGAAAGCCCCCGGCUCAACUGGGGAGGGUCAUUCGAUACUGUCCGACUCGAAGGCAGGAGAGGGUAGUGGAAUUCCCGGUGUAGUGGUGAAAUGCGUAGAUAUCGGGAGGAACACCAGUGGCGAAGGCGACUACCUGGCCUGUUCUUGACGCUGAGGCGCGAAAGCUAGGGGAGCAAACGGG